rnacentral:rRNA from 1 species
UGUUUGAUGUUCUAACGUGGACCCGUGAUCCGGGUUGCGGACAGUGUCUGGUGGGUAGUUUGACUGGGGCGGUCUCCUCCUAAAGAGUAACGGAGGAGCACGAAGGUUGGCUAAUCCUGGUCGGACAUCAGGAGGUUAGUGCAAUGGCAUAAGCCAGCUUGACUGCGAGCGUGACGGCGCGAGCAGGUGCGAAAGCAGGUCAUAGUGAUCCGGUGGUUCUGAAUGGAAGGGCCAUCGCUCAACGGAUAAAAGGUACUCCGGGGAUAACAGGCUGAUACCGCCCAAGAGUUCAUAUCGACGGCGGUGUUUGGCACCUCGAUGUCGGCUCAUCACAUCCUGGGGCUGAAGUAGGUCCCAAGGGUAUGGCUGUUCGCCAUUUAAAGUGGUACGCGAGCUGGGUUUAGAACGUCGUGAGACAGUUCGGUCCCUAUCUGCCGUGGGCGCUGGAGAACUGAGGGGGGCUGCUCCUAG